rnacentral:rRNA from 1 species
AUGGAUGCCUGCCUCCAGCUGCACUUGUUUCUCGUGCUUCUCGUGGCUAUCCUGGUUCUGUUCUUGAGGCCCCGAUGCUCGGUCGCUCGAGACAGGAGCGCUAGUCGGCAUCCGCCGGGGCCGUGCGCGCUGCCCAUCGUCGGCCACCUGCACCACCUCGCGGGCACUGUCCCGCACCGUGCCUUGAGCAGCCUCGCCCGGCGCUACGGCCCGCUGAUGAAGCUCCGUCUCGGCGAGCUGGUGGUGGUGGUAGCGUCGUCCUCGGAUGCUGCGCGAGAGAUCAUGAAGGUCCACGACGCCAACUUUGCGUCGAGGCCGCUGACCUCCAUGCAGAGGCUCGCGUUCCAGGGCAACGAGGGCCUGGUCUUCGCGCCCUACGGUGACGGCUGGCGGCAGCUCCGCAAGAUUUGCACCAACGAGCUCCUCAGCUCCCGCAGCGUCCAGUCCUUCCGGCACGUCCGUGAGCAGGAGCUCGGCCGGCUCCUGCGCUCGGUGGCGGAGGCCUCGGCGUCCGGCUCGCCGGUGAACCUGACCAAAGGUAUAUCGGCGUACCUCGCGGACUCAACGGUGCGCGCCGUCAUCGGCAGCCGGUUCAGACAACGGGACAGGUACCUGCGCGUGCUGCAGGACUUGCUGAGGAUCGUGCCCGGGAUGACCCUCCCUGACCUCUUCCCCUCCUGGCGGCUCGUCCUGCUCCUCAGCAGCGUCCCCGGCCGCAUAAGGCGCCAUAGCGAAGACAUGAAACAGAUGAUGGACAUCAUCAUUCGAGAGCGCCAGGAGGACAGAGCUGCCGGCCAAGCCAAAGAGGAAGACUUCCUCGAUGUGCUUCUGAGGCUUCAGGCGGAAAUGGAUUCCCAGUAUCCACUCACCACAGAAAACAUCAAGACAGUCCUGCUGGACAUGUUUGGCGCGGGCAGCGAGACGUCAGCUACCACGCUGGAGUGGGCGAUGGCCGAGCUGCUGCGGAACCCAGCGAUCAUGGGGAAGGUGCAAGACCGUGUCAGGCAAGCAGCAGCACUCGCUGGCCGUAACACUGUGACAGAAGCCGACCUGCCAAAUCUGCACUACCUGCGGCUAGUCAUCAAGGAGACGCUCAGGCUGCACCCUCCGGUACCGCUACUGCUCCCUCGCGAAUGCGAGAAGCCGUGUCAAGUCCUGGGCUUCGACGUACCAAGGGGGGCCAUGGUGAUCGUGAACGCGUGGGCGAUCGGCAGGGACCCGGCGCACUGGGACAACCCGGGCGUGUUCGCGCCUGAAAGGUUUGAGCAGGAUAAGCGGGACUUCAAGGGGACGAACCACGAGUUCCUGCCGUUUGGUGCUGGGAGGCGGGUGUGCCCUGGCAUGUCAUUCGGGCUGGCGCAUGUCGAGCUCGCGCUCGCAGGGUUGCUGUUUCACUUCGACUGGAAGCUGCCGGGCAAGGAUCUGGACAUGACGGAGGCAUUCGGGAUCUCAGCAAGGCUGCGGUCUGAUCUUACCGUUCUCGCCGUCCCCCGUGUCCCGGUGCCCACGAAGCAGUAA